UGAGGAAUAUUGGUCAAUGGGCGCGAGCCUGAACCAGCCAAGUAGCGUGAAGGAUGAAGGUCCUACGGAUUGUAAACUUCUUUUAUAAGGGAAUAAAGUCACCCACGUGUGGGUGUUUGUAUGUACCUUAUGAAUAAGCAUCGGCUAACUCCGUGCCAGCAGCCGCGGUAAUACGGAGGAUGCGAGCGUUAUCCGGAUUUAUUGGGUUUAAAGGGAGCGUAGACGGGUCGUUAAGUCAGCUGUGAAAGUUUGGGGCUCAACCUUAAAAUUGCAGUUGAUACUGGCGUCCUUGAGUACGGUUGAGGCAGGCGGAAUUCGUGGUGUAGCGGUGAAAUGCUUAGAUAUCACGAAGAACCCCGAUUGCGAAGGCAGCCUGCUAAACCGCCACUGACGUUGAGGCUCGAAAGUGUGGGUAUCAAACAGGAUUAGAUACCCUGGUAGUCCACACGGUAAACGAUGGAUACUCGCUGUUGGCGAUAGACUGUCAGCGGCUUAGCGAAAGCGUUAAGUAUCCCACCUGGGGAGUACGCCGGCAACGGUGAAACUCAAAGGAAUUGACGGGGGCCCGCACAAGCGGAGGAACAUGUGGUUUAAUUCGAUGAUACGCGAGGAACCUUACCCGGGCUUGAAUUGCAGACGAAUUGCUUGGAAACAGGCAAGCCGCAAGGCGUCUGUGAAGGUGCUGCAUGGUUGUCGUCAGCUCGUGCCGUGAGGUGUCGGCUUAAGUGCCAUAACGAGCGCAACCCUCGUGUCCAGUUACUAGCAGGUUAUGCUGAGGACUCUGGACAGACUGCCAUCGUAAGAUGUGAGGAAGGUGGGGAUGACGUCAAAUCAGCACGGCCCUUACGUCCGGGGCUACACACGUGUUACAAUGGGGGGUACAGAAGGCAGCUACCUGGCGACAGGAUGCUAAUCCCCAAAACCUCUCUCAGUUCGGACUGGAGUCUGCAACCCGACUCCAUGAAGCUGGAUUCGCUAGUAAUCGCGCAUCAGCCACGGCGCGGUGAAUACGUUCCC
rnacentral:rRNA from 1 species